UAGGGAAUCUUCCGCAAUGGACGAAAGUCUGACGGAGCAACGCCGCGUGAGUGAAGAAGGAUUUCGGUUCGUAAAACUCUGUUGUUAGGGAAGAAAAAAUGUAUAGUAACUAUAUACAAAAGAGACGGUACCUAACCAGAAAGCCACGGCUAACUACGUGCCAGCAGCCGCGGUAAUACGUAGGUGGCAAGCGUUGUCCGGAAUUAUUGGGCGUAAAGCGCGCGCAGGUGGUUUAGAAAGUCUGAUGUGAAAGCCCACGGCUCAACCGUGGAGGGUCAUUGGAAACUAAUAAACUUGAGUGCAGGAGAGAAAAGGGGAAUUCCUAGUGUAGCGGUGAAAUGCGUAGGGAUUAGGAGGAACACCGGUGGCGAAAGCGGCUUUUUGGCCUGCAACUGACACUGAGGCGCGAAAGCGUGGGGAGCAAACAGG
rnacentral:rRNA from 1 species